CGGGGCGUGGCGAAGUUUGGUAUCGCGCCUGGUUUGGGACCAGGAGAAUCGCAGGUUCAAAUCCUGUCGCCCCGACCA
rnacentral:tRNA from 1 species